AUCCAUCUGACGAGUCCCAAAUAGGACAAAACGUACGUCCUGGAU
rnacentral:hammerhead_ribozyme from 1 species